CCAAAAACUCAGCUCUAAUUUAUUUCAAAUGCAUUUUCUAAUUAAUCCACAACAAAUAAAACAUUUUAUCAAUCUAGUAAAGGCGAUUAAAAAAUUCUUAGAAGCUAUAGAAACAAGUACCGCAAGGGAAAAGUGAAAUAAAAAUGAAAUAUCUUAAAGCACUAAAUAGCAGAGAUUUAAUCUUGUACCUUUUGCAUCAUGGUCUAACUAGUCCAACCAAGCGAAACGCACUUUAAGUUUGACCCCCCGAAACUAGGUGAGCUACUUAAGAACAGCCUUUAGGGCCAACCCGUCUCUGUUGCAAAAGAGUGGGAAGAUUCUUUAGUAGAGGUGAUAGACCUAUCGAACCUAGAGAUAGCUGGUUAUUCAGGAAAAGGAUUUAAGUCCUACCUUAGGUUUUUUAUACCUUAAAAAUACUUAAUUAACCUUAAGAGCUAUUCAGAUAAGGUACAGCCUAUCUGAAACAGGAUACAACCUCAACCAA
rnacentral:rRNA from 1 species